UGGAGUGGGUUGCUGGUAGUCCUGAGGUCUCUGCAGGUCUCUGAAACUCUCAGCAGAGAGGGUAGCUCCUUUCUGCAGGUGAAACCCAUAAUUCCAAUUUAAGAAUGAGGAAAACAUCAGAGAGAUUCCAGCAGAGGGAUAUCCCACAAUGCAUCCGCUCAGGACUCCUCAAAACUUUCAAGGUUACCAAAGCAAGGAGAAUCUGACAAAAUGAUCACAGCCCAGAAAAGCCUAUGAAGAUCCGCAAACUACGUGGUAUCUUGGAUGGGACCCUGGAACAGAAAAUAGGCAUUAGGCAAGAAAUCGAGAAAAUCUGAAUGGCACUGGACUUUAGUAAAU
rnacentral:lncRNA from 1 species